rnacentral:rRNA from 1 species
AGAGUUUGAUCAUGGCUCAGAACGAACGCUGGCGGCGUGCCUAACACAUGCAAGUCGAACGGAAAGGCCCUUCGGGGUACUCGAGUGGCGCACGGGUGCGUAACGCGUGGGUGAUCUGCCCUGCACUUUGGGAUAAGCCUGGGAAACUGGGUCUAAUACCGAAUAUGACCAUGCACUUCCUGGUGUGUGGUGGAAAGCUUUUGCGGUGUGGGAUGGGCCCGCGGCCUAUCAGCUUGUUGGUGGGGUAAUGGCCUACCAAGGCGACGACGGGUAGCCGGCCUGAGAGGGUGACCGGCCACACUGGGACUGAGAUACGGCCCAGACUCCUACGGGAGGCAGCAGUGGGGAAUAUUGCACAAUGGGCGCAAGCCUGAUGCAGCGACGCCGCGUGAGGGAUGACGGCCUUCGGGUUGUAAACCUCUUUCAGCACAGACGAAGCGCAAGUGACGGUAUGUGCAGAAGAAGGACCGGCCAACUACGUGCCAGCAGCCGCGGUAAUACGUAGGGUCCGAGCGUUGUCCGGAAUUACUGGGCGUAAAGAGCUCGUAGGUGGUUUGUCGCGUUGUUCGUGAAAACUCACAGCUUAACUGUGGGCGUGCGGGCGAUACGGGCAGACUUGAGUACUGCAGGGGAGACUGGAAUUCCUGGUGUAGCGGUGGAAUGCGCAGAUAUCAGGAGGGACACCGAUGGCGAAGGCGGGUCUCUGGGCAGUAACUGACGCUGAGGAGCGAAAGCGUGGGGAGCGAACAGGAUUAGAUACCCUGGUAGUCC